AAACGGUGAUUCAGUGGUAGAAUGCUCGCCUGCUACGCGGGUGCCCGGGUUCGAUUCCCGGCAGUUGCAC
rnacentral:tRNA from 1 species